rnacentral:tRNA from 1 species
GGGGAUUUAGCUCAGUGGUAGAGUGCUUGCUUAGCAAGCACAAGGCCCUGGGUUCAGUCCCCAGCUCCG